GGAAACUUGGAAACUACCGUUGGAUAAAAAAUUAACAUCUGAGAUUCGUUCACAUCAUCGUAAGUAAAAAUUUUACUCACGGUUUUACUCAUGAGUAAAAAUUUUACUCGUGACGACGUGAAUGAAUCUCGGACGUCUAUUUUUCGAUCCAACAGUAGUUUCCAAGUUUCC
rnacentral:pre_miRNA from 1 species